rnacentral:rRNA from 1 species
GGUUUUAUGAAGUAAAAUAUAAAAUCUGGCCUGCUCUAUGUUUAAAUAAAUGGCCGCGGUAUUAUGACCGUGCUAAGGUAGCAUAAUAAUUAGGCUAUUAAUUGUAGUCUUGUAUGAAAGGUUGGACGUGGAAUAUCCUUUCUUAUUUGUAUGGAUGAAUUUAAAUAACCAGUAAAAAUGCUGGUAUAAUGUAGAAAGACGAGAAGACCCUAUUGAGUUUUAUAUUUGCAUUAUGUUGUUAUUAGGUUUUUGUUUUUUGUUUAAUAUUUAGUUGGGGCGAUUAUUUUAAGGAAACAUAAUUUUAAUUUAAGUUUUAGUUUUUGAUCCAUUAAUAAUGAUUAAAAGAAUAAAUUACCAUAGGGAUAACAGCAUUAUUUAGUUGGAGAGUUCAUAUUGAUAGCUAAGUUUGUGACCUCGAUGUUGGAUUAAGAUUCCUUAGUGGGUGCAGGUGCUCUGUUGAGGUAGACUGUUCGUCUAUUAAAAUCUU